UCCCAACAAAACGAUUUAUAAAAAGAAAUUUUGUAAAAUUUAUUUAUUUUAUAUUCUAAUGCAUUCCAUAUUUAUUUAAAUUAAGCAUUCAAGCAUGCUAUUUUAAUUAGCGAACCUUGAGAAAUUAUUACAGUCCCGAGAAUUCAACGCAAAAGGAGUUUAAAUGUCCAAUCAACACCCAUCCCUACGCUCCAUACCAGCCACCCUAUACCUACCCAAUUCAACUUUAACCCAUGCCUAAGGGAGGCCAUCUGGUGGGCGGCCCUGUUGCUGUCAGCCGGAGUAAGGGACUAGGGUUUUCUGGUGGCGGCUCUUGGCUGCGGUUGCAGGGAAUCAAAAGAGGGUGGGCCGCUGAGACGGUGUGCUGUGCGUGAGAGACGACGGAGAGGGAGAUCGGUGGUAGGGGUACGAGUGAUGGUGGUCGUGGCCGCGACGGCGGCUGUUUCCGCCGGGGAAGAAGGGUCCGCGCCGCUGGUUCAGGAUGUGUGUGUGUGAUGUUAUGUUUUCAAGGAGAGAGAGUUGUGAGAGCAGAGGGUGGCCGGAGAGGCGGCGACUUCGCCAGGAAGGAAAGGGGGCGGUGGUUGUGAGUCCAGUGUGUGUGCGUUGAGAGAGAGAGAGUUUAGAGAAGAUGCGAAGAAAUCGGCUGGGUCAAGAUUCAAGAAGAAAAAAAAAGGCUUGAGGAUCAGGAGGAUUAGCACUGUUAUUCCGAUUCAGAGUUAUGAUCAAACUACAGGCUUUGCCUAAUCAGGUGGGCUUACUUUCCAAAUGUAUAAAGUAUGAUUGAGCUAUUAAGCUCUAAAUGUUUCAAUGAAAUGCAAACUGUUUAUUUAAUGAAAUGCUAAUUGUUUAUCCAAUAAAAUGUUUAUGUGCACUCUGCUCUAUUUAAGGCUCGCAAAGUUAAUCAAUUGAGGUUCUCUUAUGACCUAACACGUUGUUUGAGAAUUGUGUACACUUGUUAGCUGACUCGAUGAGUUGAUCUCCAUCGGGCACUAACCAGAUGCGUUAUAAGGGUGCUCGACUGGAUGUGUUCCGGAGCAUGAGAAAUAUGAGGCUUGCCUGGGUAGGGUCCUGAGGUCAAAGUAAACUUGUUUGGGUUACGCCCUCAAUUCAAGUAAGCAGGAGACAGAUAUUCGUCGGUGGCUAAAAGGUCCAGGAUCACAAGCAAGUAACAGAAAUGGAGUGCGGCAUGUGCGCACAAAUGAAAGAAAUUAUGUUAACAUGCUUAGAAGUUCUUUCAAUUUAAAAUCUUCUAAGUUAUGUCAAUUAUGAUUGGAUAAGCUGUCUUUAUGAAAAUAUGAAAUGUUUAUGAAAA